GCAUUAGGAGAAAAUAACGCAAAAGCUAAAGGAAUUUUGGGGGAAGGAAACGCAGCACAUAUGCUGCGAUUGAAGCAGAAGCUAAGAAAAAAAAUCUUUCUACCAGAGAAGGAAACUUUAGGAUCAGUUAAUUUAAGUUUGAAGCCCCAAUAUCGUGAUUCUUGAUUCAAGGGAUUUCCUGUGCAUCGUUGGAUUUCUUUCUGUAGAGAAGAACAAGAGACAACAGUUGAAGGGCGAGGAUUUCGUUAGUCAGACGAACAAGUUGAUAGUUUCUGGUGAGCCUCGCAUUUGUUCGCGUGGGCGGAGAUUUUAUUUAUUGUUAUAGUCUUUUCUUUGAACUCUUAGAGUCGCUCCAUAGUCAAAUUUUUUAGUUUCUUGAGUAUUCUUCAUUAUUAUAGAUUUAUGUUGAGUAUCGCUCAUUCUUAUCAAAUUUGGAGAUAAAGUAGUAUUUCUAGUUAUUGGUGGGUGGACUAUUAAAGGUAGAUAUUUAUUUUUGUUAAUUGAUAAGGUCAUUGUCAUUUGAAUUGCUAUUA